UUUUUGCACAAUGUCCAUGGAGAAAAUAUUGUUGUGUAUAAGGGUCCAUAUGAAAAUUUUUCACUUUUUAGGAACCUUGGACUUCCAUAAGGAGUUCAAAAUCUUGGCUUCAUAUAAGGGGGAGAUAUCAUUUUCUCAGUAGAAUUGAGGGCCUGUUUGACAAAUGAUGUAAAGAACGCAUAUGGUUGGUUGGGCAUUGUGGUGGAGGCCGAAAUCCUUCCCAUUCGAAAAAAGUGUGUUUAUCGGUCGUUCGUUCGCCUUCAACGCCUGUCUGUUCGAUUUCACCGUCGAGUUCCACCUCUUCGAAUCCCUCACGUCAGUCGUUUCAAAGUCCAUCGUCCGCUGCAUUCCAUCUUUCCAAAAUCCCUCAAUGUCUCAUGCUGCUGCGCGUCCGUCAUUUCGACUUCACCAACGAGUGCUCCACGUCCGUCGCUUCAAAAUCCAUCAUCCACUAAGUUGAGGUUGAGAUUUAUGAUGAAGAUAAGGAUAGCGCCAGAAAAUAUGAGAUUGAGGCACUUGAAGGGCAAACAACUUCAUAAACGACGUGUUUAGUGCAUUUUAUGAUAGAUUGAAAGAGUAUGCAGUUUAUUGAAAAUGGACUUGAAGGAGAUGUCGAUUCUGGCGGUGAAGAAGAUGAAACAGAGGACACUUAUGGUGUGAAAGUGGAACAUCUACACAUUUUAGUUUCUAUUUUACUUGUAUUUACUCCUUUGGGAAAAUUCGAUAGAUUUUGUGUACUUAAUUUCUUUGUAAAAAUGUUAUCUAUGUUAUUGUUAUAUAUGAAAGUUCUUAUUUAUAUGUA